AUGUGCUUCAGCCCCGCUGGCGCAUGCCUGAUGUGCGGCCGGAAACUCGUCGACGAAAUCUUCCGUUUCUGCUCCCUCGGCUGCAAGCUUGAAGGAAUGGUGUCUGAUCCCAACAUGACAUUCAUUCUUGAUCCUGAAUGCAAGUGGGAUUACUUAGACUCGGACUCAACCAAAGAAGAAGAUGACGGCGGCCAUCUGCCAGGCCCUAGCAACUUUUAG
rnacentral:rRNA from 1 species